CGAAUGUGCGUAACAGCGGGCGUGUCUCGUGUGUUUGUGUGUUUGUGUAGGUGUGUGGGUUUAGGAUAUAUAUGAGCAGGUGACGUGGUGUGUGUAGGCCCACUUCAGUUUCUGGAGUCACUGAGAAUCAUGCGCUUCACUGUCCUGUUCCUGGUGGUGGUGGCGGUGAUGGUGGCGGGCGCUGGUGGGGGCGGAUCCCAACCCCGGAAAAGGACGCCGCAGGGGGAAAAACCGCUACCAAUAUGUUUACGUGCCUGUCCACGUGCCCGUACACCACCACUCCGUCAAGCACGUGCACCCAUGGCUACGGGUACGGACACGGCAAAGGCUACGGACACGGCGGAGGGCUACGGACACUCUGGUGGAUACGGGCACGGACCAUGGAGGUGGAUAUGGGCACAGUAGCGGCGGGGUACGGACACAGCGGCGGUGGAUAUGGUGGAUAUGGGCACUGAGGUUACCUGGGACAAGGUGAAGAGUGAACAAUGAAGGCCUUGGGUGUGUGUGUGUGUGCUGUGCGUGUGUGUGUGUGUGUGUGUGUGUUUGUGUGUACAUUUAAGUAUCGAAGUAGCUGUAGCAAUUAUAUGAAGUAAUGUUGAGAUUCUUGAUAAUAAAAAGUUGUUGAUCAGUAAA